CGUUCACGCCUUGUCCGCCGCGCGCCCGCCGGCAGGCACCAGGCUCUCCGCAGUCACCAGCUCAGCAGGUCAUCGCCCGGUUCACACGCGCGGCCGCACCUUCGGGCCAGAGGAACGCGCCGCGGAGCAGCAGCAUCUGGGCCGCCUCGGCGUCGAGCCCCGCGGGGCACAGAUGUGACCCCAAAGGACCCAGCGCACUUCUCACCGUGGCGAUCUGAAGGGUCACCUAAGCAGCAGCACAUGUCCAUUGUAUCUGAGGCGCCAGUGGACAACAAAACCUUUCGAACUUGAACUUUAACAGAAGAAAGCUUUAAGCGGGCUGUUUCACACAGGCUCCAUUUGAGCAAAGGCAUUUUAAAUCAUUAAGGGGAGAAAAACAGCACUUUUUGCUCAGUAGUGCGAACCCUCCAGGCAGUCUCCGUGGGAAGAAAAGGGAACACUAGUGAAUCUGCGCGUGUGAGCCUGGUGGGGCUCCUCUGUGCACACCCCCAGCGCCACCCUCCCCCCCAAACACUUCCCAGGAUGGAUGAGUCUGAUGAGGAUUUUAAAGAACUCUGUGCCAGCUUUUUCCAAAGGGUGAAAAAGAAUGGCCCCAAAGACGGGUCUGGGGAAAGGAAGAGACCGAGGGCCCCAGACAGCACGCAGACACGCAGCAGACCGCAGGGUACCAAACUGACCACCGCCAAGAGCAGCGCCCCCGCAGGCCCCAGAGCCACGAAAGCCCGACCUGGCAGC